UGUUAUUUAAUGCACGUAAUUUAGACACAAAUGAUAGAAAUGUUAGGUUUAUAUGUCAAAGAGGCCAUGUGAAAAUUUUAGUGCAAAUACGCAUGCGUGCGCGCCGUGCACAUUAAGCCACCCCACCCCCACGUAUCCGCGCGCCGGUCGGUGGGUGUUGGGCGUCAAUAAAGGUAAUCUGGUUGUCGCGCGUUCUGCAUCUCUGCACGAGCUAAAGAAGUCUCAAAGGUAAGAAAUGUAAACACAAGAGGCAGUAAUGAAAAUACUUUAUGGUCAUCUGAAUGUAUUUUCAUCUGACAAAUGAAUGCAGCUGUUGUUAUCACUGUGUGACGGCAGAGCGGUGCUGAAAAAUACGGCCUCCAUCGAGAGACUGAACGUAACACGACUGCAGCUGACUCUGCCACGAGGCUCGACAACUUCUUGCAUCAACUGUGAUCGCUGUGGCCACCAAAACAUCCAAAUGUAAGGCGGGCUACAAAGAUUUCAGGCCAAAAGAGAACGCCUCACAUGUGAUGAAGUGUCUGUAUUGGUUGGAAAAACCAGCAGCCCUCCAGUGCUUCAGCCGUCCAACCAUCAACCGUUUCAGACAUCCAUCCUCCCACCACUUCAGCCCCACAGCCGUCCACCAGUGUGCCAACUUCUGACAUUUUACUAUCCUGGGGGGGGUCAUGGCCUCUACGCUGGAUUCCAAAAAAGAGACAAAAAAACCCCCGACCUCAACCCCCACUCUUAGUCAGACAUGUUUAUUUUUUUUAUUUACAAUAAUAAAUAAUAUACUAUGUACAUUUAUUUUGUUUUACUUUUUUAUACUUAGUUUCCUUAUUUCCUAUAAUAUUUAUUAGUAGUUGUUGUUUGUUGAUGUUAGUUCUUUUUAGCCCCUUUUAUGUUAAAAUAGACGUAAAUGAUCCAGAUGCUGAUAUUCUAAUAUAUAGACAGAUUUAUGAAUGAAUUAUUCUCAACAGAAGUUCAACGCUAUUGUGGUAGCAGUUUGACUGUUUUACUGUAAUCUGUCGUGCCUCACCCACUGUCCAUCCCA